UAGACCAGAACAAACGCACGCACCCAUCUCUCUCGCUCAUGUCUGGUCCUCUCGAUCCCCUUGCGCCGCCGCCACAGACGCUGGCCUAUUCCGGCCACUCCGGUGAGCUCUAGUGCCGCCCAGCACACCUACGGCUGCUCCUCGAUGAGCUCUGUCUAUUCCUCCGCAUCGAUUUGUUUCCCUCUGCUCCUUGUGGUCGCCCCCUUCAGUUAUAUCUUGCUAGGGUUUCGGUGUUGGUCGUGCUCCUCCUGCUCGCCGGGGGCUCCGCGUGCGCGGCCAAGCCGCCGCUGCUGACGUGCAGCCGGUCGUGCGCGAUGCUCAACUGCGACUCGGUGGGGAUCCGGUAUGGCAAGUUCUGCGGCGUGGGGUGGAGCGGGUGCAAUGGGAGGACCCCUACGACAACCUCGAUGCAUCCUGCCGCGAGCACGACAGUUGCCUCGAAAAAAGGUACAUCGUCACUCAUCCCCUAGCUUCAGAAACCAAAAAAAUGGCAUCUGGAUCAAUGGCCGCCAUGAACAACCAUACCAUAUCACUCUGCAUUGUUUGGACCUGGGAAUUCAAAUGGUACUAAAUAUUUGAUAAGAUGAGCCAGCUCUACUCUACUCUGCUGUUAGAGAGUUUCAGAAUUCAGAUUUUUCAGUUGCUGCAAGCUCUACUCUGCUUUGUCAUUUCAUUUGGCAAUGGCGAUGCAGCGACAGUUUGGUUCACGAAGAUGUCUUUCCUGCACCGAAUGGCGGCCGGCUAGGAUGCAUCACCACCCAUGGGGCUUAAUUGUGCAUGGUUUUUUAUCUGACAGUUGGUGCGUAGGUGUAUCCUGAGCAGAGCUAUCCCACUGUGUGUUCUUUAGUCCAUCAGAGUUUGGGUUGUGAACUGCCUGUAUUUGUUUCUCUGAUUUAAAGUACGUCUACAGCCCUUGAAGACAUUCUGUAAUGGUAGCUAGAUAAUUUUUUCUUACUAAUAUGUACGUCUACAACUUUCCCUGUAACAGCAGCGACGGCAGCCUAUUACUUCACAGUAAACACAUUUAUCUGAUUAUGAGGUUUUAUAUGUGUUUUACAUGUUUGUCAAAUUACUGCGCUUACUGUUAGAACACUCAAUACUGCACCCAAAAAAACAACGUACUGAUAGUUGCUGCCUCGACACACGGUAGCUAAUUCAUACAUAAUUUCUACUGAUCCAUCUAGACUUCUCCUAUGUUAUGUUUUUUUGUUAUUUCCUAGAUACACAUACUGUAAUCUUAAGGACCAGUGAUGCAUGAGGGAGAUCCCAAUUUUUUUCAUCACUACUAAUUUUACCAUCUCCACUGAUAUAUCAACAUGACAUAGUGGAGUUUCUCAAUUUCCCUUGGAGAGUUUGUGCUUAGUAUCAAUCUUAUGUCAGACUAGCAAUAUUAUGUAAUAACAUGUAUAGGUACAUGAAGAAGUUGUGAUUUUUAUAUUAAUAUAUGCUAUGGGAACCCGCCACUGCCAAUUCUAGGAUACAUAGAAUAUUCAAAACAUUCACGAAAUAAUUAAUUAGAUAAAUUAGAUUUGUAUCUUAUGGUGAUAUUUCCAUUGAUUUCUUGCUGUAACUUGAAAUGCUGAGUAGACAAUUUUUCAUGAUGUGCAACUAUUUUCAUUUGAAAAAUAUGUACUCACUUUCUAUAUAUAUGUUGCAUAUGCCUGGUUGGACAAUGGAAUAUUGAACUUAUUUGUGCGAGGUGAAAGUUCAAGUAAAGCUAAUGGACAGUAAGCUGGAAAUUUAAAGUUAGAGUGCAACCUAUUUUGAUCCGCGUGCAUGUGAUUCUGUUUAUAAUAAGGGUUGGUAUAUAUCUAUAUUUAACAUUUAUUUCCUAAAUACACGUACUAAAAUUUUGUAGAAAAAUACCGAUAAUGAUGGUGGUGUCUGAUUUCCUUGUUAUAGCGCCCCUCCCAGUAAUUUGUUGCAUGUUUGACUGAUACAAUUAUCGUAGACAAAUUAUGAAGACUUAUACUAACUUUUAAUUAGUAAUAAUGUUUCUGAAAUGAAAUUUUCUCCAAGUGAAAUGCUACAUUUCUACUCCUAAUCCAUUCUCCUUUUCUUAGUGUUUUUGUUAUGCAGGUUGGAAGAAAAGAAGAAGAUCCAGAGAAGAUCUUAGUAAUAAGAUAGCUUUCAUUAAAGUAGAUAUUUAGUUUUAGGUCAUUUCUUGUAAUUUUAGAUAUGGAGUGGUUGUCUUUAGUUUUUGUUUUGACUUUGUGAAACUUGGUACCUAUGGAUGAAACUGUGUAAUAUUGAUGAAACUAUGUAUAUGUAUGGAUGGAACUUGCUACUAUUGGUAACAUGUGUUGGAUAUCCUAUAUUGGUCAUACAUAUGUGUUUGAUUUUCUAUGAAAA